rnacentral:rRNA from 1 species
GAUGAACGCUGGCGGCGUGCCUAAUACAUGCAAGUCGAGCGAACAGACGAGGAGCUUGCUCCUCUGACGUUAGCGGCGGACGGGUGAGUAACACGUGGAUAACCUACCUAUAAGACUGGGAUAACUUCGGGAAACCGGAGCUAAUACCGGAUAAUAUAUUGAACCGCAUGGUUCAAUAGUGAAAGACGGUUUUGCUGUCACUUAUAGAUGGAUCCGCGCCGCAUUAGCUAGUUGGUAAGGUAACGGCUUACCAAGGCAACGAUGCGUAGCCGACCUGAGAGGGUGAUCGGCCACCCUGGAACUGAGCCACGGUCCAGACUCCUACGGGAGGCCCCAGUAGGGAAUCUUCCGCAAUGGGCGAAAGCCUGACGGAGCAACGCCGCGUGAGUGAUGAAGGUCUUCGGAUCGUAAAACUCUGUUAUUAGGGAAGAACAAAUGUGUAAGUAACUAUGCACGUCUUGACGGUACCUAAUCAGAAAGCCACGGCUAACUACGUG